AUGUGUGCUACAGAGAAAGAACACAGAUUUGGCCUCUCAAAAGCUGUCUCCGUUAUGAGGUACAGCGCCUCUGCUUUUGGGUUUGCAUUUGAUGCCAUCCUGGACGUCCUGUCAUCGGCGAUUGUCCUGUGGCGUUACAGCAAUGCGGCCGCUGUGCAUUCUGCACAUAGGGAGUACAUAGCCUGUGUCAUCUUGGGGGUGAUAUUCCUUCUGUCAUCCAUAUGUAUAGUGGUCAAAGCCAUCCAUGACCUCUCAACUAGGCUGCUCCCAGAAGUGGACGAUUUCCUGUUCAGUGUCUCCAUUUUAAGUGGGAUUCUUUGCAGCAUCCUGGCCGUGUUGAAGUUCAUGCUGGGGAAGGUUCUGACCAGUAGAGCACUCAUCACAGAUGGGUUUAACUCCCUCGUGGGUGGCGUGAUGGGCUUCUCCAUUCUUCUGAGCGCGGAAGUGUUCAAGCAUGACUUGGCGGUCUGGUACCUGGAUGGCAGCAUAGGCGUUCUGAUCAGCCUCACCAUAUUUGCCUAUGGGGUCAAACUCCUGAUCGACAUGGUGCCGAGGGUGAGGCAGACGCGUCACUAUGAGAUGUUUGAGUGAAGGGGGCCAGCGUCCGCAUGAGACCAUCGAGAUGAGGAGUUUCCACAUAGGCAAAGGAUGCCAAUAUUUAACUGAACAUCUGGUUUCUUUUUGGAAGUUUUCUUUCACGUGGUUUGUCAUUACAAGACAAGGUCUACCCAGCCAGGUGGAUCUACCUUGCCCCCAUCACCUGCUGCCCCCAUCAAACAUGUUAGGACAGUGCCCAUAGGAAUGGACCUGCUUCCCCGUCUCCAGCUGGGACUGGCGUUUUCUAUUCUCUGGAGUAUGAUGGUUCUCAUGGGUAGGAUGAGAUCUUGGGCAGAAAGGUCUUCGGUGGUGCUCUGAGCCUGCGCUGCGUAGGACUGAGCAGACCCCCCUCCUCCAGCGGGGGUGGCCCUGCCACUCCUGGUUCCAAGUCUCUCCUCUCCCUGCAGGUCUUAAGGGAAGAUUGUACCCCUCACCCUUUACAUGCCCAGAAUCAGUAUGUCACUUCCUAAUUUCUAUCGGUGUAUCUCAUUAGUUUCAUACUGUUU